GAGAAAAAUUGGUGGAUUUCAAGUAAUCAAGCAAUCAAAGGUGGUGAGCCCUCUAAUAAGGGUAAAGACGUUGUGUCAGAGGAUUGAGAAUAGGAGUAUUUCAAACUCUUGAUACUGCUCAGGAUAGUCGGUAGAUAGCUCACUUUGUUGAGGGCUACAGUGGGACUUGCAUACUCAAAAAUUGGUUUCGAUUGACAUUUCGAGUAAUGAGUGUCGAUCGGGACACUGCGGCGGUUAUCACGGGCUCGAGGGGAGUUUCGGGUCGUGAUAGAUGUCCCAUAACUAUACGUUCCCUGACUAGUUCCCAAAAUCAACCACUUUACCAGUUUUGUUUGAACAGAGCGCAUAAAUCUGAGGAAAUGCAUUAGUAAGCAGAAUACCUUUAAUCCACUAGUCCGUCCAAAACUAUUUGUUUUUACCAUUGCUUGUAACGAAGCCCAGAUUUGAUGUGACUUGCAAGAAAAACUUAUUAGUGAUAAUAAAAGGAUUAAUAAUUCUUUUC